AUGGGGUUGCAGCGGCGCCACGGCCCUACGGCGCGUCACCUCCUCCUCUGUUUCUUUACCUUUUAGUUACACAGCUCGCUCUUCUUUAGCUCGGUGUUCUACGACUUUUGUGAACGGCAUUAAUGGCGUCUCAUGGCGGCGAUGGUCGUUGGUUGCUUGCCAGGGUUGAUAUUGUUGUUCUGUUGCUACUUCAAGUUAGAAUAGGAGUUUUUUUUUUCAACCCUAUGCAGUUGAUUCAGGCGUUGUAGAGGAUAUUUUAGGUUGUGAUUCAAGUUGACAUUUAGUUAGCAAGUAAUCCGACAAGUCAUACUCUACAUUGAAUCCAUAGUUGCUACGUACAAUGUAAUUAAUCAGGUGUUGCUUGGCGAGAUCCAAAGAGUAUCCUCGAGGGAAGGUAGGGCUGCCAUUAAACUUCAUUGAUAAUGGGUUUUUCAACAGUGUAUGACAUCAGAUUAUGAUGCAAUAUCCACCAUAUUUGAUGUUCAUAAAUAUGCCAAAACACCAAAAGAUGCAGUUGCAGAAGUGGUUAAAGCAGGUGACAGAGGAUGGACGACAAAGAAAUAUAAACUCUUAGGCUGGAAGGAGCUAUACCACCAAUAGAAGUCCAACUUCUACGCUGCUGGAUUCCCGCCUUUAGAGACGUCAAAACAUGUUACACACUGGUCAACUGACAGGCAGUUGCAAACUUUUUAUCUGGAGUUAUCACCAGCAAAGAGAGUACUAAAGUAUACGCAACCUAUGGUAAAUGCAGUUGAAAAGUCAGAAAUGCUAAAACAUCAUGACAAAGAAGGUGGGGACCUUGACGUUACAUGUCGAACUCACGUCACGAUUAUAAGUCACGAGAAUCAGUUGGUGAUUUAACACCAGAAUUCUACAAUGACAUCCUCUUCUUUGUUGUAAUCGACAUAUUAGAAGAUUUUGACAUCAGCAAAAAAGCUUGAGCACGCCUAUAAGACAUUCUAAUACGACCCGGCUUCCAUUUCGCUCACAUGCAUACAAAAACUCCGGAUGACAAUUAAGCACUCUACUACAGAUGAAGAAAGCAGCAAACGCCACAAAGGAAAAUCGCCUUGAAGGGUCAACGCAAAAGUCCUUUUGCUUCUAGGUAUGUAUGUGGACAUGUAAUCUUUUGGGUCCACUUAAUAUAUAAUAUUUUGGUUCAACUGAAACAUUUUCUCCAAUUCAACACAGAUUGUAUGUAUGUACAUUGUAUAAAGUCCAAUUC
rnacentral:lncRNA from 1 species